UUGGACAAUGGGCGCAAGCCUGAUCCAGCCAUGCCGCGUGUGUGAAGAAGGCCUUAUGGUUGUAAAGCACUUUAAGCGAGGAGGAGGCUACUGAAGUUAAUACCUUCAGAUAGUGGACGUUACUCGCAGAAUAAGCACCGGCUAACUCUGUGCCAGCAGCCGCGGUAAUACAGAGGGUGCAAGCGUUAAUCGGAUUUACUGGGCGUAAAGCGCGCGUAGGCGGCUAAUUAAGUCAAAUGUGAAAUCCCCGAGCUUAACUUGGGAAUUGCAUUCGAUACUGGUUAGCUAGAGUGUGGGAGAGGAUGGUAGAAUUCCAGGUGUAGCGGUGAAAUGCGUAGAGAUCUGGAGGAAUACCGAUGGCGAAGGCAGCCAUCUGGCCUAACACUGACGCUGAGGUGCGAAAGCAUGGGGAGCAAACAGGAUUAGAUACCCUGGUAGUCCAUGCCGUAAACGAUGUCUACUAGCCGUUGGGGCCUUUGAGGCUUUAGUGGCGCAGCUAA
rnacentral:rRNA from 1 species